GGUGAGCAAUCGGGCCUAGUGCGUCGAUAAGUGAUGAUAAUUACAAUCAGUUGUGGUUAGUUCAUUAAUGAGUGUUAACUCGUCAAUUAGUCCCGCUAGGUUACUAGGGGAAGCUACUAUAUUUCAUAUUUUACUCUUCAGAUUUCUAACACACCUCCUUAGCUUUCUCUAGUCUGAGGGCUUACCAAUACCUUUGAAAGGUUGGAUUUCCUCACUUUCGACCUUCUCGAGAUAUUCUUGAAAUGUGUGCAGAGCGUCACUCUUCACCAUACCUUCACUCAACCUCUGGUUGAUGAAGUCUCGUAUGUCCUUCGAAGAUAUAUGACUUAACAUCACGUUGAAGUGAUUAGAACACUCGUGAACGUCUGCUGGACCUGAAAAGUUCUUCUUGUUCGGCAAUAUCUUUGUCAACAUAUCGGCUAAGUUGUGUGAUGAUCCUAUGUUAAAUGGCUGUAUAAUCCCUUCUCUGUGAGCAUAAUGUUGGAUCCAGGAGUAUCUUAUUUCCAUAUGCUUGUUUGACUUAGACGACAUAGUUUCCAUUGCCUGUCGAAUGGCUGUCGUAUUAUCGCAGAAGAGUGGUACUCUUGACAGUUUAAAUCCAAGCUCUCGAAACAACAAAAUUUGAAAGAAUAAAUCUUUCGCGGCUUCAUACAUUGCCAUGAACUCUGCUUGCGCUGAACUCGUGGCUGGUAUUCCUUGCAGUUUGCUCUUCCAAUUGGUAGGGCCGCAUGAAAAAGAUAUAUACCCCGAUGUGGAUUUUCUUCCGCAUCUAUCUUUCGAAUUUAAGGAUAACUUUUGGCCUGCCCAAUCCGAGUCUGUAAAUCCUGCAAGUCUCACUAUACCAUUGCAUUCAGCACCGUUGUAGGUUAAUGGAAUAUUGGGGUUCCUCUUGAGAUAUCCAACCGCUCUGCAUAAAGCGCUAAAUUGCUUAUGCGUUGGGUUACUUGCUACCCUUCCAGCUAGACUGCAUACCACAGCAAGAUCUGGUCGAGUAGCAGUAUUAAACCAAUUCAGACUUCCCAGCACUUGUUGAUAUGUUGUCCGCUUCAUCCUGUCUACUGCAUCUGUGUCAUCCUCCUUGGCGAGAACAAACGUAUCUGAUGGUAGUAAUGGCGAAUUGCAAGCAUUGAUAUCUUGCACAGGACAUUUUGCCAGAAACUGCGCAAUUGAAUAUUCUUGGUUGAGUGUGUAACAAUUCUUCCCUAAUCUCUUUAUAUGGAUGCCGUUGUACACCUUUAUCCUUUCAAAUUGCGAAACUUUGUAAAUUCUGGAAAAUUCUUUGUGGAACUGCUUGACAACCUCAUCGUUCUCAGCGGUUAUCAGAAGAUCAUCUACCAAUACUGAAAUGAUCAUGAAGGGCUUGCUAUUGCUCAUCUUAACAAACAAACAGCUAUCCUUACAUAAUUGGUUCAAACCCAGAGACCUUAGAGUCUUGGUUACAUGCAAAUACCAACACCGUCCCGCUUGCUUUGUGCCAUACAAGGGUCUGCGUAACUUGUAGACCAUUCCUUUCGGAAGCGGAUGUGACCUUGGGGCCUUGACGUAUAUAUCAUCUAGGAGUUCCCCUUGCGUGUAAGCUUGGGAUACAUCUAUCGUAAAGAUGUCCCAUCCUAAUAUCGCCGCCAAGUUUAUGAGUAUCCUAAAUGUGGUCAUGGAAGCAACGGCACUAAAUGUGUCGUGGUAGUCCUUCAACCAAACUUGGGUGAAUCCUUGCACUACCAAUCUAGACUUAAGGGAACCAUCUGGUUUUACCUUAUCUACCCAUUUGGAUCCACAAAUAUUUGCAUCUCCGGCUUCAACAAUACUGACCUCCAUUAAUGUGGUUUCGAGCAAUCCAUUGAGCUCUUUUGCUCUGCUCUCUGAGAAAUCCACACUUGACUCAUCAAUAAUUUUACCGUAUUCUUCGCCUUUUGCGACGGCUGUGGCUAGCACACUGUGUGCUGCCCUAUUUGUCGAAUCAGCGUUAUUUAGCGCAGGAUUCAAUUUUACCGUUUUAUCGCCGUAACUCCCGCCCUGGAGCUGGAUAUGCGAAUACUUACAUGUGAGGUAGAUAACCUGUUUCUUGAGCUCAUCCUCAGAAACUCUACCAUUCUCUUUGAAGUGGUUAACGAGAUGUUCAAUAUCGUCAGUCGGUUGAUCAGUCCCAACAUCAGCAUUGUUCUCUGCGUCAACACCUCCUUCAACUUCUUCAAGGAUCUCUGGAGAAAACCCGCUAGGCCCCCAGCCUGGAUACUUAUCCUGAAGGCUACUCUGGUCCAUCCUUGUCCGUUCCCUCGCAAAUUCGAGAAAAUCCUCGACUAGACCAGCAUUGGCGUUAUUGAGCGCCGGAACUACAUCGCUAGCGUUAUUGAGCGCUGAGCCAGCGUUAUUUAGCGCUGCUUCGGCGUUAUUGAGCGCCGGAAAUGGUUCGCUAGCGUUAUUGAGCGCUGAGCCAGCGUUAUUUAGCGCUGCUUCUCCCCCGGACUGCGGAUAAUCCUCGUCAAGAUCGUCAUCUUCGCAAUCACUUUCAGAUUUGUAUCCUUGGUCCUCCUUUUGAGAAUCCAACAAAUCAUUCAACCAAUCGUCCAGGUCACGGCGGUCGGAAAGCUCCGGUGGGAGGAUAACAAGCUCCGGUGGGAGGAUACUAUUGUCGGUUAGCUCUGUUCGGUCUCCUGUUAAUCCAGGAUGCUCCCCAUUCUGUGCAUUCACCGACCCAGCGUUAUUGAGCGCCGGUCUAUUUACAUAAUUUUCAUGGUCGAAGAUCAACUCCGACGUUUCUUGAACAUAACCUGGUGCUGAUCCUUGGCGUUUCAGGAUGCUGUUGGACAAAACCACAACAUAUUUCUUCGGGUGCAAAGUUACACUAGAGUAACCUAUGAACCACACUGGAAAUCUACUCACACACCAAUCCGGCCUUGAAGCCGGGUGCUGAUUACUCAAAUUUUGAGCAAUCACAUUCCGCGCCAUAUACGCCUUACAACCAAAUGGAUGUAAGACUUGGAUAUCCACACCGUGUCCAAAAACUUCAUAAUACGGAGAUUGCAACUUAUUGUGCACUUUGACUCCAGUUAUAUUUCUUACUGUGGCGGCGUACUUCAUGGCAUAUACCCAAAACUCACUCGGCACGCCACUUGCUAUCAAGAGCUUUUUGGCGAUUAUCUUGAGUGCUUGAUUCGUCCUUUCUGCUACGCCAUUUUGCCACGGAUGUCCUACAUCACUCUUGGAAAAUACCAUUCCAUGAUCAUCACAGAAUUUUCCAAAUGUAGACUUGAUAUCGCCACCACCAUCGGAGUGUAUCCGCUUGAGUCGAAUUUCUCCAUCUUGAUGGUAUCUUCUGCGGUGGUCUUGUAUUAACGCUAGAUCGCGCUUAAAUUCCUUAAGCGCAUGUGUCAGUGACCUUUCCUCAACGGUGGACGGCCGAUUGCUCUCUACGGGGUAGACCAGCUGGAAUCUGGUAUACUCAUCUGUAACGGUCAAACAUGCCUUUUGAUCUACAAUCUUACAAACCAUAGAACCUCUUGGCGGUCCGAAAGUCACGUCCAUGUGGACAAUUUCAAACGGUUUUGUACAUCGCUUGGUACUCCUCUUACCGUGAUUCGUUUGUCUUGUAUGACCUAUCUUGCAUGUGACGCAAUUAUCGGCAGCAUUAUUCAACUUUGCUUGUAGCUCGUCCAGAGGUUUGUCACUUGUUAUCCAACUAUUGUUGAAUGCAGUAAGUAAUGUAUUACUUGACACAUGGCCAAGUGUAUCAUGUAUUAACGUCGGUAUCCAGAAUAUGGGCCGUUUUGACGAUAUAUCUAUCACCGGCAAUCCAUCGUGACGUCGACGAACAUUAACAUCAUGAUAUUUUCCAUCUUCAUCUGGUAAUUUGAUACUUCCGCCGGAGUCAUUUAGGCUAAUCGGGUAACCUGUGCAUGAUAAUAUUCCGGCUCCUGGAAGAUCGGCUCCAGGGGCACAGUUUGCCUCGAAAUGGAAUUCAAAAUGUUUUCCUUCCGUGUCAACUAGAUCAACCUUUGCAACUCCUGAUUUGGUCACUACCGUAGUGCCGUUGAUAGAGGUCAAGAUUUCGUUUCCUCGAGACUUCACGUUGUGCAACUUUAGUGCAUCAUUUAUUACACUCACACACGCUCCACUGUCGACCAGUAAAGUAUUUUUGUUGCCUAGAUGAUAUGUCUCGAGGAUUAUCGGUCACUCGUCUUUCUCUUUUGGAUCAGACUCGUUCCCUCUUGGUUUCUUAUUGGCAAACUUGUCUACCCGCCGCUGCAGAUCAGGACGUAACGGCGAUUUACACUCCCAAUACCUGUGACCUUUCCUGUUACAGUUGAAGCAAGCUCCUUUCGGCUGAAACUUCUUCCGCUUCAGAUUAUUCACAGCAAGCUGUUUAGGUGAUGUCUCCUGAUCGAGUUUAUCAGCUAUAACAAGCUUAUUCGUGCAUUUGGUAAAGUCCAGUUUGUCGCGCUGCUGGGAAAGUAACUCCUCACACACCUUUUUGACAUUCGUUCGAGACAGCGGAGACGCCAACAACAUAACGAGUAUUGUUUCGGUGAAACCACUGAAUUCGAUCGUUUCCGAAGUGGUGAGUUCGUUCCCAUUUAUCGUGAACGCAGAUUGAACCUGCCGACGCAACCUCAGCCCGUUGUUGAGUCUAACUUGACUAUCAUUUGGGAGGGAAGUAAACAAUUUUCUUUUGUUACCCAAGAAUUCCGCCAUGUUUCCGGAUCCAGUGUACUUUAUGUCAUUUAACCGAUUCUCUACGAGAGUUUGGAUCGUUGAGUAAGGGUCUAAUUCCAGAAGUAAUCUGUCUAACAAAGUAAUCCCCGACCAAGUCGCUCUUGACGCUCUCAUGUCGCUUACGAGCUUCUUGAGUUGUUCAGGAAAUACAUUUGAUAAAUCAAAAACGCCGUCAGCCAGUUCUUGAUCCGCAACAUCGAGCGGUACCAAUGUCCUAUCCGGAUGUAACUUCUCAUAGUCUUUCACUGUAACACGAUUAUUCUCAGCGUUAGCAGGUGGUAACCCCGGGAGUCCGUUGGAAUCCCUUUCAUCCUGCAUUACGUUGUAAACGUAUUUACACAAAUCGAUGUUAUCACGGAAUGUAAUAUCCAGCGAAGCUACGAUUGCGGUGAUCCUGCAAAGAUCCAUAUUGGCAUUUUUAUACUUUGCAUCAAUGUAGUGGCGCAACAGCUUAUCCGCAGCGAUCGACACACUGACGGCCUCCGUUUUCCUUCUUCCGUUGAUUUUAGAAGAUGUAAACCUGUAGUUCAAAGAUUGAACCAUUAAAUCUAUAAAUUCGACUACGUUGUCGCCUUGAACACCGCUCUUGAAACGCGUGAACGACGCCAGGUCCGUUGGUAGGAACGCUUCCGACAUCUUGCUUUGGUUAAGCGUUUUAAGGCGUUACUAAAUUUAGAAUCUUCUAAAAAUAGAACGAUUCGCUCUAAAAAUAGAACGACUCUUUACAAACCGAUCGAGGCGCAAAAGGCACUCUUCCGAUUGACACUAAUCGUAGGUCCACGCUAGCGUGCUGCACGUCGUCGCAGAUGGCAGAAUCGUACGAUGCGAGCUAUACCUUAUAUGAUGGUGAGCAAUCGGGCCUAGUGCGUCGAUAAGUGAUGAUAAUUACAAUCAGUUGUGGUUAGUUCAUUAAUGAGUGUUAACUCGUCAAUUAGUCCCGCUAGGUUACUAGGGGAAGCUACUAUAUUUCAUAUUUUACUCUUCAGAUUUCUAACACACUUCGACUAUGUAUCACGAAUGCGGAUCCUCGCACUUGAGAAACCUCGGAUUUAUACGUCGCGAUGGGUGUCGUGCGUGAGAAACCUUGGGUUUAUAAGUCGCAAUAGAUGUCGUGCGUGCUUGGCUUGUCUGAUGCUGAUUCAUACGCGCUAAGUCUAUAUGUAGGUCUAGUUCGUGUACAAGUAGUGUAGACAUGCACGUCAGCAACAAAAAACUCCGCCGGUGCAUUUGGCUUGAAAAAGUUCGAGCUCUAUCACUAGAUGCGACCUACCAAUGAUCACACCGUUCGUGUUCCUCUUAACCAACUUUGCUUGUGUGCUUCUCUGUCGGAUAUCUUGUCAUUCUUGACCUUCUCGAAAUUUGUCUCUAUCCAAUCCAUGAUCCACUUGCCCCACUCAUGAAUAUGGCGACUCCAGACGUCGACUUCAUUCCAAGAUCUGAUUUUCCAGGAAAUAAUUCUUCAUUUACAAAGUUCGAAUCACUAAACGCUGCCGGACAUAUACUCGAGUCCUUCCUGAAGUACAGUUCUACGACUUAAAAUGUUCGUCAA
rnacentral:lncRNA from 1 species